GUAUAUCAGCAAGUAAAGAGACAAUUUGCAUAGGAAGACUGGGUAGUCAGAAUAAAAUUCUGAAAGUCAUGUAGGUGCUACAUACUGGUUAAUAUCAGACAGCAAACAACUUCCAGCCAGAGACUGAAAGCUCCCAAAAAGAUUAAGUGGUUGAACUUGCUACAAAUAAGCAAAUAUUCAGGUACUGUUGCCUGUUGUGUCAUCCAGAAGCAGCAGAAAAUGUCAAAGUAAGGUGACAUCAUCACUGGUUUAGUGACAUCAGCUUCAGGUAUAGUGUAGUUUGUUUUGAGUUGCACCACAGGAAAGUCUGACCCAUAUCUGUGUAGAAUUUACUUAUUCUGUCCAUGUCUAGACACUCACAUAAAUCCUGUGAGUUUCCAGUAUUCUGGCUGCAAGACCCACAACAUCACUGGAAGUGAGCUGUUUUUCCUAACAGUGCAGUGGGUGAAUGGAAAAAGCAUUUUUUCAUUAUUUCUAUUUAACCUGCACUUCUCUGUUUUACUGACAGUAACAUUAUAGGCAUGAUGGGAAGACAGAGGGAGAAGAGAGGUUGCCAUGUAUUUCAUAUCUUUGGGCAGUAGUUAUGUCUAAUAUAAUGGCAGUCCUGUUUCAAGGAUAAAGUGACAGUUUUCUGCAAGUGGGGAGAAAGUAAAAAGUUUUUAUCAAGUAAUUUUAAGUAUAGUAGAAGUAAUUAAUUCUAACUUAACAGCGUAUUUUCAGCUACUUAAACUACAGUUUAAUUGUUGUCUUACUUGUAGUUUGGUAUGAAAUGACCACAUGCAGCAAGCUUUUCACCAAAGGAAGAGAAAAGUUAUUUAGAUGAAAGUCCAGGUGUCCUGCUGGGCUCAGGGAUGUCAAAGACAACCACAUCUUCUAAUCUGGAGUCCAACCCCAUGCCUUCUCCUUCUCCAGCCAGAAUCAGGCAGAAGUCACUGCCUCAGGUUAAGAUGUUAUCUGCACCACUCUGUCAUCUCUGCUGGAGCUGAAAUACCACAAGCAGAAGAAGGAAAAUUUAGUAUUUGUUUACACCUCUGCUGUAGUCAUGCACAGCCCAACUUAACUGUGGGAGCUGGAGCACAUGUCACACUUAGGUCUUCUGCAGCCAACACUUGGAAGGUACAUAAACAUUGGAAUUUCACAGUUGCAAACCGUAUGUCAGUUCUGGAAAAAUGCCUCUGA
rnacentral:lncRNA from 1 species